GACGAACGCUGGCGGCGUGCCUAAUACAUGCAAGUAGAACGCUGAAGGAGGAGCUUGCUUCUCUGGAUGAGUUGCGAACGGGUGAGUAACGCGUAGGUAACCUGCCUGGUAGCGGGGGAUAACUAUUGGAAACGAUAGCUAAUACCGCAUAAUAUUGACUAUUGCAUGAUAGUCAGUUGAAAGGUGCAACUGCACCACUACCAGAUGGACCUGCGUUGUAUUAGCUAGUUGAUGGGGUAACGGCUCACCAAGGCGACGAUACAUAGCCGACCUGAGAGGGUGAUCGGCCACACUGGGACUGAGACACGGCCCAGACUCCUACGGGAGGCAGCAGUAGGGAAUCUUCGGCAAUGGACGGAAGUCUGACCGAGCAACGCCGCGUGAGUGAAGAAGGUUUUCGGAUCGUAAAGCUCUGUUGUAAGAGAAGAACGAGUGUGAGAGUGGAAAGCUCACACUGUGACGGUAUCUUACCAGAAAGGGACGGCUAACUACGUG
rnacentral:rRNA from 1 species